rnacentral:sRNA from 1 species
GGCCCCCGCGGCGGGCUGGGGGGCCGGGGGCGGGGUCCGGGCGGGGCGGGCCCGCGCUCACUUCCUCGGGGAGGGGUUGGGGCCGCACUCCCACUCGCCCACACGGUCCGUCUGCAGUCGGCAGCCUCGCCGGCAGCUCGCUCGGCCCCCGCUUGGCCCGGCCCGCAGGGUUCUCUCCCCUUGCCACCAUGAGCGAGUCAUUUGACUGUGCAAAAUGCAGCGAGUCCCUGUAUGGACGCAAGUACAUCCAGACAGACAGCGGCCCCUACUGUGUGCCCUGCUAUGACAAUACCUUUGCCAACACCUGUGCUGAGUGCCAGCAGCUUAUCGGGCAUGACUCGAGGGAGCUGUUCUAUGAAGACCGCCAUUUCCACGAGGGCUGCUUCCGCUGCUGCCGCUGCCAGCGCUCACUAGCCGAUGAACCCUUCACCUGCCAGGACAGUGAGCUGCUCUGCAAUGACUGCUACUGCAGUGCGUUUUCCUCACAGUGCUCCGCCUGUGGGGAAACUGUCAUGCCUGGGUCCCGGAAGCUGGAGUACGGAGGCCAGACAUGGCAUGAGCACUGCUUCCUGUGCAGUGGCUGUGAACAGCCACUGGGCUCCCGUUCUUUUGUGCCCGACAAGGGUGCUCACUACUGCGUGCCCUGCUAUGAGAACAAGUUUGCUCCUCGCUGCGCCCGCUGCAGCAAGACGCUGACACAGGGUGGAGUGACAUACCGUGAUCAGCCGUGGCAUCGAGAAUGUCUGGUCUGUACCGGAUGCCAGACGCCCCUGGCAGGGCAGCAGUUCACCUCCCGGGAUGAAGAUCCCUACUGUGUGGCCUGUUUUGGAGAACUCUUUGCACCUAAGUGCAGCAGCUGCAAGCGCCCCAUCGUAGGACUCGGUGGAGGCAAAUAUGUGUCCUUUGAAGACCGACACUGGCACCACAACUGCUUCUCCUGUGCCCGCUGCUCUACCUCCCUGGUGGGCCAAGGCUUCGUACCGGAUGGAGACCAAGUGCUCUGCCAGGGCUGUAGCCAGGCAGGGCCCUGAGCCAGGGCUCCUGGACCCAGGCUUUCCCAUACCACGGGCCCAGGACUGUGGCUCCUUUUC